rnacentral:rRNA from 1 species
AAUAGAUACCCGGGUAGUCCACGCCGUAAACGAUGGAUACUAGCUGUUGGAGGUAUCGACCCCUUCAGUAGCGAAGCUAACGCGUUAAGUAUCCCGCCUGUGGAGUACGGUCGCAAGACUAAAACAUAAAGGAAUUGACGGGGACCCGCACAAGCGGUGGAUCAUGUUCUUUAAUUCGAUGCUAAACGAAGAACCUUACCAGGGCUUGACAUCCCGAGAAUUACUCCGAAAGGAGUGAGUGCUUUAUUGAAUUCGGUGACAGAUGAUGCAUGGCCGUCGUCAGCUCGUGUCGUGAGAUGUUUGGUUAAGUCCAUCAACGAGCGCAACCCUUGUGAUUAGUUGUAUUUUUCUAAUCAGACUGCCCUGGCAACAGGGAGGAAGGAGGGGAUGAUGUCAGGUCAGUAUUGCCCUUACGUCUUGGGCGACAAACACGCUACAAUGGCCGGUACAAAGGGCAGCCAACUCGCGAGAGGGAGCAAACCCCAUCAAAGCUGGUCUUAGUUCGGAUUGCAGGCUGAAACUCGCCUGCA